AUGAGGAGGACCUUGAGAGUUGGCAGCAUGGAUUUACUGCUCCCCGUCUCGUCUGUGCCACCUAUUUCUUGCUGCUCGCUGACGCCACGGGCUGCCGCUGCUCGCCGACACGGGCUGCCCUUGCCCCAGCUCCGCGUACUGCAGUUGCUGCUCGCUUCUCGCCGCCACAAGCAAUCACUGCCCCAGCGGCUAGCGUUGCGUACUUCUGCUGCUGGCCGCCGCCGUUGCAUACCGAAUGGUGUCAGAGUUGGCGAAAAAAACAGAAAACCUCAGCGAGAAAUUUUUAGGAAAGAAAUUUUCAGAGAAAAAACAAGGAAAGAAAAUACGAUCGAGAAACAAAAAAUUGCAGAGAGAAAAUACGAGGAAAGACUCAACACCAAGCCGCCGAGGAUCCUUGCCUAG
rnacentral:rRNA from 1 species